CGUAACCAGCCCUGCGUGUUUAUGACCUGUCAGACACAUGACUGUCACCUGCCAGGCCCUGCAGGACAACUUCUUCCCCUCCUGUCCCUCCGUCCUGCACUGCUGGCCCCAUCCACACCCAUCACCCGUGGAUGCCAAGGGAGGAUGUGGCUCUUGAUGCUGGCAGGACCCCAUCCCAGCUGCAGGGAUUUAGGCGUUCCUCCUGAGAAACCUCCAAAAUUUUUAGGAAUUAAAUACAAGAAUUAAAAGCUGCUUUUUACACUUCCUAAAAGGCACUACCAGGGCAGGAGAGGAGGCAGCAGGGACGAACACUGGUGACAAGGAGCACUUGGUGCUCAACAGGCAGAUCCCAGGGAGAAAAGGGUCCAAGCCAUUCCCAGAGAGCUCCAUCAGACACAAGCAGCUUGGCUGAUGCCAGUGCCAAACCACAGCUAAGGUUAGCAGCCUCUGAUGGGAAAUUACUUGUAUCGAGCACUCUGGAGGUUUCUUCCUUUCCAAACCCAGAUUUGUCUUCGGUGGUGGUGAGGGGGGGUGAAUGCUCCACAAACAACUUCUGGUAAGUGUUGUCUCCUCCUCAUCCUGCCUCCUCUUAUAAGUCAUGCUUUUCAUGGAAAUUUAUAUAUUUUUUUUUUUUUAAUAAUUUCAAUUGAAAUUAUGAAAUUAAGGCUUAGAGCACAGAUCAACUCAGCAGUGCCCCUCCCUGGGCACAGUGCAGGCAAGAGGAUGGAGGCUGUGGCAGCUCAGUGGGUGCUGGAGAGGGUCCAGCUCAUCCUCACCUUCACCCCACUGCAGGUCCCCAGCAUAAGGCAAUGAUUUCCUUCCUCCCCUGCACACUGGGACCCCCAAAUCCUGCCCUUCCCCUUGGCCACACUAUAAACCACCACAUUCCACACAAGCAGCACCUCUGCUCCAGCCUUUUGCUGGGCAGAGAAAUGGCUGCAAGAGAAAGGAGCACACAGGGAGCCCUGUCCCAGCUCCAAAAAAGGGAGCAGACUCAGAUCCAUGGCAAAGUGAGGCCCACUGGGGCCACAAGGCAGCACUGUGACAUCUGAGAUUGCUGCAGUUGUGCCCAGUAAUUCCAGAGUUCCACAGGACAACGAACAUUGGGACUCUCAGCACUGCCACAGCACCACGGCAGCAUUGCCCUCACACAGGCACCCACCGUUAUUCCAGCAGAGGAGGAAGUCAGGAGCAAAGUGCUGUGCUUUCUCCAGGAUCGUUACAAUUAAUUGGAUUUGAGCUCCGUGGUGCUUCAACUCAAAUUAAAUAAUGGCUCCAUGAGAUCAGAGCUCCCACCUCUCCAACCACUCACACCCUGGGAACACCAGGCUGGUGGCUGCUCUGCCUGGACACAACAGGAGCCCAGAGCCAAAGUCCUGCCUCGGCAGGUCACGACCCACACGUGUAUUUUUGGCAGAACUGCCUUUUUUGGGGGGAUGGCAGCUGGAAAAGUGUAAAUGGCAGAUGAGACAG